rnacentral:rRNA from 1 species
UACGAAGGGUGCAAACGUUGCUCUGAAUUAUUGGGCGUAAAGCGCACGUAGGCGGCUUAGCAAGUCGGAUGUGAAAUCCCUCGGCUCAACCAAGGAAGUGCAUCCGAAACUGCUGAGCUUGAGUACGAAAGAGGAUCGCGGAAUUCCCGGUGUAGUGGUGAAAUGCGUAGAUAUCGGGAGGAACACCAGUGGCGAAGGCGACUACCUGGCCUGUUCUUGACGCUGAGGCGCGAAAGCUAGGGGAGCAAACGGG